rnacentral:rRNA from 1 species
GAUGAACGCUGGCGGCGUGCCUAAUACAUGCAAGUCGAGCGAACGGACGAGAAGCUUUCUUCUCUGAUGUUAGCGGCGGACGGGUGAGUAACACGUGGAUAACCUACCUAUAAGACUGGGAUAACUUCGGGAAACCGUAGCUAAUACCGGCUAAUAUUUUGAACCGCAUGGUUCAAAAGUUAAAGACGGUCUUGCUGUCACUUAUAGAUGGAUCCGCGCUGCAUUAGCUAGUUGGUAAGGUAACGGCUUACCAAGGCAACGAUGCAUAGCCGACCUGAGAGGGUGAUCGGCCACACUGGAACUGAGACACGGUCCAGACUCCUACGGGAGGCAGCAGUAGGGAAUCUUCCGCAAUGGGCGAAAGCCUGACGGAGCAACGCCGCGUGAGUGAUGAAGGUCUUCGGAUCGUAAAACUCUGUUAUUAGGGAAGAACAGAUGUGUAAGUAACUGUGCACAUCUUGACGGUACCUAAUCAGAAAGCCACGGCUAACUACGUG